CCUACGGGAGGCAGCAGUGGGGAAUAUUGGGCAAUGGAGGAAACUCUGACCCAGCGACGCCGCGUGCGGGAUGAAGGCCUUCGGGUUGUAAACCGCUUUCAGCAGGGAAGAAGCGAAAGUGACGGUACCUGCAGAAGAAGCACCGGCUAACUAUGUGCCAGCAGCCGCGGUAAUACAUAGGGUGCAAGCGUUGUCCGGAAUUAUUGGGCGUAAAGAGCUCGUAGGUGGUUCGUCACGUCGGAUGUGAAAAUCUGGGGCUUAACCCCAGACCUGCAUUCGAUACGGGCGAGCUUGAGUAUGGUAGGGGAGUCUGGAAUUCCUGGUGUAGCGGUGGAAUGCGCAGAUAUCAGGAGGAACACCAAUGGCGAAGGCAGGACUCUGGGCCAUUACUGACACUGAGGAGCGAAAGCGUGGGGAGCGAACAGGAUUAGAUACCCUGGUAGUCCACGCCGUAAACGGUGGGCACUAGUUGUGGGGACCUUCCACGGUCUCUGCGACGCAGCUAACGCAUUAAGUGCCCCGCCUGGGGAGUACGACCGCAAGAUUAAAACUCAAAAGAGAAGUUGGACGGCGAGAGACGUCGACCGACGGACGACGACGGAGGGAGGAGG
rnacentral:rRNA from 1 species